rnacentral:rRNA from 1 species
UACAGAGGGUGCGAGCGUUGUCCGGAAUCACUGGGCGUAAAGGGCGCGUAGGUGGUGGCUUAAGCGUGCGGUGAAAGCUCGGGGCUCAACCCCGAGUCGGCCGUGCGAACUGGGCUCACUGGAGCAUAGUAGAGGCGAGGUGGAAUUCCGGGUGUAGCGGUGGAAUGCGUAGAGAUCCGGAAGAACACCGGUGGCGAAGGCGGCCUGCUGGGCUAUGGGCUGACAGUGAGGCGCG